AUUGUCUACUGGUGUUUUGUUAGGUACUAGUGUCAGUUUGUCUGUCAGUUGACCUCUUUGUCUUUCCGUUUCUCAGAGAUACCCAUCUCUUCAAGGCCUGGAUGACCUCAGACAUGAGCCAGAGGUAGAGCUCGACACUUCACUGACAUUUGGGACCAUGAGGAAAACCACAGCAAUCAUGAUGGAACAAAUUCAACAGAAGCUGGAGAAUCUGACCAGCACUGAGCUUCAGAGAGUUCCAAAGUUUACAGUGGACGUAAGGCUGGAUCCAGCUACUGCGUACCGGCACCUUGUUAUUUCUGAUGAUGGGAAGGAAGUGAA